rnacentral:rRNA from 1 species
GAAUGCUGACAUAAGUAACGAUAAAGCGGGUGAAAAGCCCGCUCGCCGGAAGACCAAGGGUUCCUGUCCAACGUUAAUCGGGGCAGGGUGAGUCGACCCCUAAGGCGAGGCCGAAAGGCGUAGUCGAUGGGAAACGGGUUAAUAUUCCCGUACUUGGUGUUACUGCGAAGGGGGGACGGAGAAGGCUAUGUUGGCCGGGCGACGGUUGUCCCGGUUUAAGCGUGUAGGUGUGUGUUCCAGGUAAAUCCGGUUCACUUUAACACUGAGGCGUGAUGACGAGGCACUACGGUGCUGAAGCAACAAAUGCCCUGCUUCCAGGAAAAGCCUCUAAGCAUCAGGUAACAUCAAAUCGUACCCCAAACCGACACAGGUGGUCAGGUAGAGAAUACCAAGGCGCUUGAGAGAACUCGGGUGAAGGAACUAGGCAAAAUGGUGCCGUAACUUCGGGAGAAGGCACGCUGACAUGUAGGUGAAGUGAUUUACUCAUGGAGCUGAAGUCAGUCGAA